rnacentral:ribozyme from 1 species
CUUUAUUUUUUUCUUUCCUUCUUUCUUUCUUUCUUUUUUUGCAUAUGUAUUUUGUUUCUUUUUUUGGCCAUUUCGCAGCCAUUUCAGUAGGAACAGGGAGAGAAAGUGGAGGGAAGAAGACAAGUCUCAGUUAGUCGCCCUUUCUUUUUUUGUCAUUA